GGUCAAGUUAUUAAGGGUGCAGGGCGGAUGCCUUGGCACUAGGAGCCGAUGAAGGACGUGAUAAGCUGCGAUAAGCUUCGGGGAGUUGCACGUAAACUUUGAUCCGAAGAUUUCCGAAUGAGGAAACUCACUUAGAGUAAUGUCUAAGUAUCAUUAAGUGAAUACAUAGCUUAAUGAGGGGAACUCAGGGAACUGAAACAUCUAAGUACCUGAAGGAAGAGAAAGAAAUUCGAUUCCGUAAGUAGCGGCGAGCGAACGCGGAUUAGCCCAAACCAAUAAAGUUUUCUUUAUUGGGGUUGCGGACAUAUCAUAACGAAGAGGUAUCGUAAUUGAAGAGGUUUGGAAAGACCCACCACAGAAGGUAAUAGUCCUGUAUGUUAAACGAGAAGACUUUAGAUAUGAUCCAGAGUACCACGGGACACGUGAAACCCUGUGGGAAGCAGGAGGGACCACCCUCCAAGGCUAAAUACUACCUAGUGACCGAUAGCGUAUAGUACCGUGAGGGAAAGGUGAAAAGAACCCCGGGAGGGGAGUGAAAUAGAACCUGAAACCCUGCACUUACAAGCUGUGGAAGCACAUUUCUUGUGUGACCGCGUACUUUUUGUAGAACGGGCCAACGAGUUACGUUAAGUAGCAAGGUUAAGCACUUAAGGUGCGGAGCCGUAGCGAAAGCGAGUUUUAACUGAGCGUUCAGUUACUUGACGUAGACCCGAAACCGGGCGACCUACCCAUGAGCAGGAUGAAGCGAAAGUAAAAUUUCGUGGAGGUCCGAACCCACGAGCGUUGAAAAGCUCGGGGAUGACUUGUGGGUAGCGGUGAAAUUCCAAUCGAGCCCGGAGAUAGCUGGUUCUCCCCGAAAUAGCUUUAGGGCUAGCCUCAAGGUGAGAGAUACGGAGGUAGAGCACUGAAUGUCCUAGGGGGUAUUGCACCUACCGAAGACUAUCAAACUCCGAAUGCCGUCAUCUUAUACUUGGGAGUCAGACUGUGGGUGAUAAGAUUCAUAGUCGAAAGGGCAACAGCCCAGAUCGUCAGCUAAGGUCCCUAAAUGUAAGUUAAGUGGUAAAGGAUGUGGGAUUGCACAGACAACCAGGAUGUUGGCUUAGAAGCAGCCACUCAUUCAAAGAGUGCGUAAUAGCUCACUGGUCGAGUGAUCCUGCGCCGAAGAUUUCCGGGGCUAAAACUUACUACCGAAGCUACGGCAUCAGUAAUGAUGGGUAGGGGAGCUUCCCAUACGGGUUGAAGCAUGACCGUAAGGACAUGUGGACAGUAUGGGAGUGAGAAUGUUGGCAUGAGUAGCGAGAUGUGGGUGAGAAUCCCACAGGCCGUAAACCCAAGGUUUCCAGGGGAAGGUUCGUCCGCCCUGGGUUAGUCGGGACCUAAGCUGAGGCCGAAAGGCGUAGGUGAUGGACAACAGGUUGAUAUUCCUGUACUACCGAUAACCGUUUGAGAGAAGGGAUGACACAGUAGGAUAAGCUAAGCACACUGUUGGUUAUGUGUGCCCAAGCAUUGAGGCAGUCAAAGUAGGCAAAUCCGCUUUGAUAAUGCUGGGAUGUGAUGGGGAGCGAAAUUUAGUAGCGAAGUAGCUGAUUUCACACUGUCAAGAAAAGUCUCUAUCGAGGUUAAAGGUACCCGUACCGCAAACCGACACAGGUGGGUGAGGAGAGUAUCCUAAGGCCAGCGAGAGAACUGUUGUUAAGGAACUCGGCAAAAUGACCCCGUAACUUAGGGAUAAGGGGUGCCACCAUCAGGUGGCCGCAGAGAAUAGGCCCAAGCGACUGUUUACCAAAAACAUAGGUUUCUGCUAAGUCGCAAGACGAUGUAUAGGAGCUGACGCCUGCCCGGUGCUGGAAGGUUAAGGGGAUCUGUUAGAGCAAUCGAAGCAGUGAACUUAAGCCCCAGUAAACGGCGGCCGUAACUAUAACGGUCCUAAGGUAGCGAAAUUCCUUGUCGGGUAAGUUCCGACCCGCACGAAAGGCGUAACGAUUUGGGCACUGUCUCAACAACAGACUCGGUGAAAUUGUAAUUCCGGUGAAGAUGCCGGAUACCUGCGACAGGACGGAAAGACCCCAUGGAGCUUUACUGUAGCUUGACAUUGGGUCUUGGUACUACAUGUACAGGAUAGGUGGGAGGCUUUGAAACCAGGACGCCAGUUUUGGCGGAGCCAUCCUUGGGAUACCACCCUUGUAGUACUGGGACUCUAACCAUAGGCCAUGAAUCUGGUCUUGGGACACUGUCAGGUGGGCAGUUUGACUGGGGCGGUCGCCUCCCAAAAGGUAACGGAGGCGCUCAAAGGUUCUCUCAGUACGGUCGGAAAUCGUACGUAGAGUGUAAAGGCAAAAGAGAGCUUGAUUGCAAGACAUACAGGUCGAGCAAGGAUGAAAAUCGGACUUAGUGAUCCGGUGGUUCUGCGUGGAAGGGCCAUCGCUCAACGGAUAAAAGCUACCCUGGGGAUAACAGGCUUAUCUCCCCCAAGAGUCCACAUCGACGGGGAGGUUUGGCACCUCGAUGUCGGCUCAUCACAUCCUGGGGCUGUAGUAGGUCCCAAGGGUUGGGCUGUUCGCCCAUUAAAGUGGUACGCGAGCUGGGUUCAGAACGUCGUGAGACAGUUCGGUCCCUAUCCGUCGCAGGCGUAGGAAAUUUGAGAAGACCUGUCCUUAGUACGAGAGGACCGGGAUGGACGUACCUCUGGUGUACCAGUUGU
rnacentral:rRNA from 1 species